rnacentral:rRNA from 1 species
GAGGAAUAUUGCACAAUGGCCGAAAGGCUGAUGCAGCGACGCCGCGUGAAGGAUGAAGUCCGUUAGGAUGUAAACUUCUUUUGCAGGGGAUGAAUAAUCCCUUUCAGGGACAUGACCGUACCCUGCGAAUAAGGAUCGGCUAACUACGUGCCAGCAGCCGCGGUAAUACGUAGGAUCCGAGCGUUGUCCGGAGUUACUGGGUGUAAAGGGCGUGUAGGUGGAUUUCUAAGUCGGUGGUGAAAUCCUGCGGCUUAACCGCAGAAUUGCCAUCGAUACUGGAGAUCUUGAGUACGGCAGAGGGUGAUGGAAUUCAUGGUGUAGCGGUGAAAUGUGUAGAUAUCAUGAAGAACACCGGUAGCGAAGGCGGUCACCUGGUCCGUUACUGACACUGAGGCGCGAAAGCGUGGGGAGCAAAC